GCGCAAAUUACCCAAUCCCGACACGGGGAGGUAGUGACAAUAAAUAACAAUACGGGGCUCAUUUGGGUCUCGUAAUUGGAAUGAGUACAAUUUAAAUCUCUUAACGAGGAACAAUUGGAGGGCAAGUCUGGUGCCAGCAGCCGCGGUAAUUCCAGCUCCAAUAGCGUAUAUUAAAGUUGUUGCAGUUAAAAAGCUCGUAGUUGAACUUCGGGGUUUACCCAUUGGUCAGGCUUAAUUGUCUGUACUGGUGAGAUAAAUCUCUACCUUCUGAGGAACUUUCAUGUCAUUAAUUUGGUGUGAUUGGAAAUCAGGACUGUUACUUUGAAAAAAUUAGAGUGUUUAAAGCAGGCUAACGUCUGAAUACAUUAGCAUGGAAUAAUGAAAUAGGACGGAUUGAUUCUAUUUCGUUGGUUUCUAGGAUCACCGUAAUGAUUAAUAGGGAUAGUUGGGGGCAUUAGUAUUCAAUUGUCAGAGGUGAAAUUCUUGGAUUUAUUGAAGACUAACUACUGCGAAAGCACUUGCCAAGGAUGUUUUCAUUAAUCAAGAACGAAAGUUAGAGGAUCGAAGACGAUCAGAUACCGUCGUAGUCUUAACCAUAAACUAUGCCGACUAGGGAUCGGACGAAGUUAAUUUUAUAAUGACGCAUUCGGCACCUUACGGGAAACCAAAGUGUUUGGGUUC
rnacentral:rRNA from 1 species